rnacentral:tRNA from 1 species
AAAAAGAUAAGCUAAUACUAAAGCUAAUAGGCUCAUACCCUAAACAUAGAAGUAAAAUCUUCUUCUUUUUA